rnacentral:rRNA from 1 species
UACGGGGGGAGCAAGCGUUGUUCGGAUUUACUGGGCGUAAAGGGCGCGUAGGCGGCCACCGCAAGUCAGUUGUGAAAUCUCUGGGCUUAACCCAGAAAGGUCAACUGAUACUGCGGGGCUAGAGUGCAGAAGGGGCAACUGGAAUUCUCGGUGUAGCGGUGAAAUGCGUAGAUAUCGAGAGGAACACCUGCGGCGAAGGCAGGUUGCUGGGCUGACACUGACGCUGAAGCGCGAAAGCUAGGGGAGCGAACGGG